UGAAUACGAGACGCUAAGGCGUCGAAGUAGUGUAUGUCAUACUUCCAAGAAAAGCUUGCACUGUCAUAGAUAAAAAACGCCUGUACCAUAACCGACACAGGUGGGUAGGUAGAGUAUACUAAGGGGCGCGAGAUAACUCUCUCUAAGGAACUCGGCAAAAUAACUCCGUAACUUCGGGAGAAGGAGUGCCUUAUUCGUAAGGUUGCAAUAACAAGAUCCAAGCAACUGUUUAUCAAAAACACAGGUCUCCGCUAAGUCGUAAGACGAUGUAUGGGGGCUGACGCCUGCCCAGUGCCAGAAGGUUAAAGAAGUUGGUUAGCAAUUGCGAAGCUGAUAACUGAAGCCCUGGUGAACGGCGGCCGUAACAAUAACGGUCCUAAGGUAGCGAAAUUCCUUGUCGGGUAAGUUCCGACCCGCACGAAAGGCGUAAUGAUUUGGAUACUGUCUCGGAGAGGGGCUCGGUGAAAUAGACUUGUCUGUGAAGAUGCGGACUACCUGCACCAGGACAGAAAGACCCUAUGAAGCUUUACUGUAACUUGAAAUUGAAAUUGGACUUUAUUCGCGCAGUAUAGGUGGGAGGCGUUGAUUAUAAUCUUGUGGGAUUAUUGGAGCCAUCAGUGAGAUACCACUCUUGUAAUGUUAGAUUUCUAACUUAAAUCAUUAUCUGGUCAAAGAACAGUUUCAGGCGGGCAGUUUGACUGGGGCGGUCGCCUCCUAAACGGUAACGGAGGCGUACAAAGGUUUCCUCUGAACGGUUAGAAAUCGUAUCUAGAGUGUAAAGGCAUAAGGAAGCUUGACUGUGAGACCUACUAGUCGAGCAGGGACGAAAGUCGGUCUUAGUGAUCUGACGGUACUGAGUGGAAAGGCCGUCACUCAACGGAUAAAAGUUACUCUAAGGAUAACAGGCUGAUCUCCCCCAAGAGUUCACAUCGACGGGGAGGUUUGGCACCUUGAUGUCGGCUCAUCGCAUCCUGGGGCGGUAGUACGUCCCAAGGGUUGGGCUGUUCGCCCAUGAAAGCGGUACGCGAGCUGGGUUCAGAACGUCGUGAGACAGUUCGGUCCAUAUCCGGUGUAGGCGUUAGAAUAUUGAGAGGAGCCUUCUUUAGUACGAGAGGACCGAGAAGGACGUACCUCUGGUGUACCAGUUAUCGUGCCAACGGUAAACGCUGGGUAGCUAUGUAAGGAGUGGAUAACCGCUGAAAGCAUCUAAGUGGGAAGCCCACCUCAAGAUAAGUAUUC
rnacentral:rRNA from 1 species